rnacentral:rRNA from 1 species
UGCAACGCUGGCGGCAUGCCUACACAUGCAAGUCGGACGAGAAAGUGGAUGCUAUCCAUGAGUAGUGGCGACCGGGUGAGUAACGCGUAAGCAACCUACCCUCGGAGUGGGGAACAACCGCUGGAAACCGGGCUAUACCGCAUAAUUACCCUUGGGUCAGGCCUGAGGAGCAAAGGAGGCAAUUCGCCUGAGGAGGGGGCUCGCGUCUGAUUAGCUAGUUGGCUGAGGUAAUAGCCUACCAAGGCGAUGAUCAGUAGCCUGGUCCUGAGAGGGCUGCAUCAGCCACACUGGAACUGAGACACGGUCCAGACUCCUACGGGAGGCAGCAGUGGGGAAUUUUGCGCAAUGGGGGAAAGCCUGACGCAGCAACGCCGCGUGAAGGAUAGAAGGCCUUAGGGUACUGAACUCCUUUCCCGGAGACGAAGAAUGACGGUACCGGUGGAAUAAGCCUCGGCUAACUCUGUGCCAGCAGCCGCGGUAAGACAGAGGAUGGCAAGCGUUAUUCGGAAUGAUUGGGCGUAAAGGCGUCUGUAGCGGUGCUGUAAGUCGCCUGUGAAAUCCUCAUGGGCUUAACCCUGGACAGGCGGGAACUACAAGCUGCCGUGCUAGAGUAGGGGAGAGGUGCGUGGAAUUCCGGUGGAGCGGUGAAAUGCGUAGAGAUCGGAAGGAACACAACUGUGCGAAAGCCUCUGCCUGGACCGACACUGACACUGAGAGCCGAAAGCUAGGGGAGCAGACAUGGAUUAGAUACCCAUGUAGUCCUAGCCCGUAAACGAUGGAUACUAGGGCUGUGCGGUAUCCGAUCCCGACGUGCACUGCUAGCUAACGCGUUAAGCAUCCCGCCUGGGGAGUACGUUCGCAAGACUGAAACUCAAAGGAAUUGACGGGGGCCCGCACAAGCGGUGGAGCAUGUGGUUUCAAUUCGACGCAACGCGAAGAACCUUACCUGGGCUCGAAGCGCAGUGGACCGGGGUAGAAAUAUCCCUUUCCGCAAGGACCGCUGCGGAGGUGCUGCAUGGCUGUCGUCAGCUCGUGUCGUGAGAUGUUGGGUUAAGUCCCGCAACGAGCGCAACCCUUAUCGUUAGUUGCCAGCAGGUCAAGCUGGGCACUCUAGCGAAACCGCCCCGGAUAACGGGGAGGAAGGUGGGGAUGACGUCAAGUCCUCAUGGCCUUUAUGUCCAGGGCUACACACGUGCUACAAUGGUCGGUACAGACCGUCGCAAACCCGCGAGGGGAAGCUAAUCGGAAAAAGCCGACCUCAGUUCGGAUUGGAGUCUGCAACUCGACUCCAUGAAGCUGGAAUCGCUAGUAAUCGCAGAUCAGCACGCUGCGGUGAAUACGUUCCCGGGCCUUGUACACACCGCCCGUCACAUCACGAAAGUGGGCCGUACUAGAAGCCGGUGAGCCAACCCGCAAGGGAAGCAGCCGUCCAAGGUACAGCUCAUGAUUGGGGUG